AGGUCUCCUGAAGGAACGUUGAAGACGACGACGUUGAUAGGCCGGGUGUGUAAGCGCAGCGAUGUGUUGAGCUAACCGGUACUAAUGAACCGUGAGGCUUAACCUUACAACGCCGAAG
rnacentral:rRNA from 1 species